rnacentral:rRNA from 1 species
UACGUAGGGUCCGAGCGUUGUCCGGAAUUAUUGGGCGUAAAGAGCUCGUAGGCGGUUUGUCGCGUCUGCUGUGAAAGCCCGGGGCUCAACCCCCGGGUCUGCAGUCGAUACGGGCAGGCUAGAGUUCGGUAGGGGAGAUCGGAAUUCCUGGUGUAGCGGUGAAAUGCGCAGAUAUUAGGAGGAACACCGGUGGCGAAGGCGGAUCUCUGGGCCGAUACUGACGCUGAGGAGCGAAAGCGUGGGGGAGCGAACAGG